UGAGGAAUAUUGCGCAAUGGACGGAAGUCUGACGCAGCAAUGCCGCGUGCGGGAAGAAGGUGCUAUGCAUCGUAAACCGCUGUAGCGUGGGGCAAAAAGCACCUUAUGGGUGUGAGAUGGUACCACGAAAGUAAGCAUCGGCUAACUACGUG
rnacentral:rRNA from 1 species